AUUGAACGCUGGCGGCAUGCUUUACACAUGCAAGUCGAACGGUAACAGGCCGCAAGGUGCUGACGAGCGGCGAACGGGUGAGUAAUGCAUCGGAACGUGCCCAGUCGUGGGGGAUAACGCAGCGAAAGCUGCGCUAAUACCGCAUACGAGCUGUGGAUGAAAGCGGGGGACCGAAAGGCCUCGCGCGAUUGGAGAGGCCGAUGUCAGAUUAGGUAGUUGGUGGGGUAAAGGCCCACCAAGCCAACGAUAUGUAGCUGGUCUGAGAGGACGACCAGGCACAGUUGGACUGAGACACGGCCCAGACUCCUACGGGAGGCAGCAGUGGCAAAUAUUGGACAAUGGGCGCUAGCCUGAUCCAGCAAUGCCGCGUGCAGGAAGAAGGCCUUCGGGUUGUAAACUGCUUUUGUACGGAACGAAACGGCUCUGGUUAAUACCUGGGGCUAAUGACGGUACCGUAAGAAUAAGCACCGGCUAACUACGUGCCAGCCGCCGCGGUAAGAC
rnacentral:rRNA from 1 species